GAAGAUGAAUGUUGAGAGAAGUUGAGGGAGAAGAGAGAUGUCGAGAAAGAGGAAGAGGGAUUUCACAUUCUGAUUUUUUUUAUUUCUUUCUUAUAUUUUGUUUCUUUUAAUUAAAAAGGGACACAUGUCAAGAUCUGAGUGGUCAUUGAAUUUAAUUGUUUGAGCGAUCCUUUACGGGACUCCCUCAUAGGGUCUAUUUUUUCCUUAAUUUUGAGUCGUUAGAUGUCGCUAUCUCUUUCUUGUAUUUUAUUUUUUUAAUUAAAAAGGGACACGUGUCAAGAUCUG
rnacentral:lncRNA from 1 species